rnacentral:rRNA from 1 species
UACGGAGGGUGCAAGCGUUAUCCGGAUUCACUGGGUUUAAAGGGUGCGUAGGCGGGCAGGUAAGUCAGUGGUGAAAUCUCCAAGCUUAACUUGGAACUGCCGUUGAUACUAUCUGUCUUGAAUACUGUGGAGGUGAGCGGAAUAUGUCAUGUAGCGGUGAAAUGACUUAGAUAUGACAUAGAACACCAAUUGCGAAGGCAGCUCACUACACAGCCAUUGACGCUGAGGCACGAAAGCGUGGGGAUCAAACAGG